rnacentral:tRNA from 1 species
GGAUUGUGACUCAGUGGUAGAGUGCUUGCCUAGCAUGCAUGAGGCACUGGGUUUGAUCCUCAGCACCA